UACGGGGGGAGCAAGCGUUGUUCGGAUUUACUGGGCGUAAAGCGCGUGUAGGCGGUUGCCCAAGUCGGGUGUGAAAGCCUUGAGCUCAACUCAAGAAAUGCACUCGGUACUGGGUGACUAGAGGACCGGAGAGGAUAGUGGAAUUCCCAGUGUAGUGGUGAAAUACGUAGAGAUUGGGAAGAACACCAGUGGCGAAGGCGGCUAUCUGGACGGUUUCUGACGCUAAGACGCGAAAGCGUGGGGAGCAAACAGG
rnacentral:rRNA from 1 species